UGUAAACGUAAUUUAUCACUUUUUCAUUAAAGUGCAUUUAGUUGAUCAAUUCCAUCAUCAAACUACUGCUAGCAAGUCUUGUUACUUGCCAUUGAUUUACCAAAGGCAGUACAAUUCGAUACGUCGCCCUCCAUCUCUAACCUCUCUCUCCCUCCCUCCCUCUUCUUCUCCUUCAACAUCAUCUGAGAGAAUUGAACUGUGUGUUCGGGGGUCGGGUUUAGGAAUUGAAUUACUGUAGAUAUAUGCAUAAUUACUAAUGGUACUUAGUUGUCGGAGGAUUGGAUGGAUAUAUAACGAGACGAGGAUCUGAGAUAGAUUGCUCCAUCGACUCUCCCACCAAACAAAUAGGUCUUGUCAAAAAAGCUUUAAAAAAACCCAGAACAAACCUACAUCUGUCUUCUCUUCUUUCCUUCAUUUAUCACCAUCGAUCUGUCCCUCAUCUCCCUCAUCCCCUCCUCUCCACCGUCGAUUAUAUUGAUUUGUUUAUCUGUUAAUUAAUUUAUUUAUGCUCUCAUCUCAUCUUUUUAAUUAAUAUAUGCUGUCAUACCAUCAAAUACGAUCGAUGAAAGGCCCUGCAGGUGGUGUGUGUGUGUGUGUGUAUGUGUUCGCGCUGCGCUCAUCAUACCUGCAAACCCGCUACCUAGUGCAAGUGUGUGCAACCAACAACAAAACAUUUAAUGAGUGAGCUAGGCUGCUGCUAGUUAGGAAGGAACAAAUUGUUAAAAACAAAGGAUAACUUGGCUCUCUACUUUAAAAGGAGUUACUUCUUCUUAUAGAAAAAUCGCAGAUGCAUACUUUUUGUUUAAUUUUGACAGAAAUGUAAAAAGGGUUAACUAUUUAUGCGGCGUUAGGUCGAUAUAUAAAAGAAACCCUAGAUCUUAUUCAUUCAAUCAAGGGAUCGAUGUGAAAUGUUGGUAUGUGGUUUACAUGUAUAGUUUGCAAAGAAAAUUAAGUGAAGGGGUGGGGGUGUAUGUAAUAUGUAUGGAUGUGAAUGUGAGCGGAUAGCUAGGUUUCAGAUCUGACUCUCUCUCUCUCUCUCUCUCUCUCUCUCUCUCUCUCUCUCUCUGUGGAUGUGGAAUAUAGUAAAGUAAAAUAGGGGAAGCUCAAGCUUGAAGCUACUGACAGAAGAGAGUGAGCACACAAACGCAGGCAAUUGUAUAAAAGCAUAUACCUUGGUGCGGUGCGUGCUCACUUCUCUCUCUGUCAGCUGCUGCUGCCGCCCUUGCCCUUCCAGUCUUUGAUCUCACUUAAAUUCACAGAGAAGGGCACUGUUCACAGAUGCUUUCUCAUCAGCGGCCCAGGAAAAAGGAAGGAAAGUAAAGCCAGGGGCCAGGGCCCCCUCUUCUCUUUCAAUUCUCCUUCUUCCAGGUGUCUUUCUCUCCAGAACAUUUUUUUAUGUCCUCAUCCAUAUGUCCAUCACACUUCUCUCUAUUUCUCUUUCUCUCUCUCCAUUUACUCAAUUUUUUAUUGUUAUAAAUAUUUUCUUUUUCCAUCCCAGCUGACCUGAUAGAUGGAUCAUGGAUAUGAGUAUGACACAUUUCUUGCAGGAUUUAGUAUCAUAUAUCUCCUCUAUCGUCUUUUAUAUGGAUGUAUAUUCUUCUCAUCUCUUUCUCACUCUCACAGUUGUCUUUCUGUUUGUGAUUCAAGCUUACUGGAUGGAUCUACGUGGCUCCUGGAGUUCACAACCAAAUGUUAUUUUUGGCUAUUUUAUUUAUAUAUAAUUUUUGCUACCCGUGCACAACUAGAUCUUCAUCCAUAUAUACACACUCCCUUUUUGUUCCCUCUUCCCUCUCCCUGUUACAUAUAAUUUGUUUUUUCUUUUCUUUUAUGUAUUUAUAACAAUUAUUAGUAUUAAAUCAAUUAUUCAACAUAUGUUAUUGAAAUUAUUUAAUAGUAAUAGUUAUUAUUAGUUAUUUUAAGUUGUGACUGGAGUUUGAAAGCGUGACUUUUGAUGGUCCUUGCUAGAUCUUCUUGAGCAGUUGAAGAGGACGAAUUGGGUUUUGAAUAUACAAUCAAGCCGUCAGUCCUCAGGGAACUGCUAAAUAUGGAAUACAACAUCUCAUUCUUUCCUCAUAUGCCCAGAUCACAGCUUUUCUUGUGUCAGAAAUUACAUUUCGAAGAUGGGAUGAAUUUCCUUAUACAGGAAGUAUUUUUGUUGUUGUUUUGGCUUCAGGGGCAGCAGAUUUAUGCUUCCAUUCAUUUGCAGAAUGUUAAUCAUCAAGGCACAUUGUGUAAAUUCAAAACUUUUGUAAGAUGGUUUCUUGCCACAUAGGACAGGAAUUAAUGACGCUUGAAUAAGCACUGACAAUAUAGAACUUUCAGGUUUGAGAUUUACUAUCAAGCCACCUUAAAGUGAUGGCUUCUGCGCUGAAUUGCCAGCUUCCAAUUUACCUUUCGUCUUUUGGCUUAGCACUGAUGAAGCAAAUGAAAUUACUCUUUGUUGGUGGGAAACAGAAUAUCAGUCUCUUCAAAGUUCAAAGGGUUUGGGAUCAGCAAAAGGGUUUUAGCUUGGCACUUAGAAUUCCUGAGAUGAGAGGAAGCUGCAAUAUCAAAGCUUUAUGAUCGAUAUCAUUGAUCGUAUGAGCAUUGCUCUGCAAAAAGCUUUGGUGGGGAAUUCAAGUUGGGGCGAACGGAGGAUGUAUUCUAAGGUGGAUUGGAUUUGGGUCUAUUGGGUUGGGAGGACAUUGGAAGAUUGAAUCAAAACAACAGACUAUGGUGGAAGAUCUGUCUGAGAACCCUUUUUAACCCCAAAAAGAAGGCCCAAACUCGAAGGGUCUAAGGUGGAUUUGGGCUUAUUGGAAAGUUGGUGGGAAAUAGGCCCAUCUGUGGUUCAUUAUCCAAAUAUUAGGCCCAAAGGACAAGUCAAAUUUCUGAAAGCCAGCCAGCCAUGUGGCUUGCCUGUGUCUCUGCCUGUUCUUGAAGAGUCAGAAAGGAGACUUUUAGGUUGAUGAAAAGGCCAACUCUCUACUGCUAUGAAUCAGAAUUUGGCUCUCUUCUUGUGAUAAUUAUUAUAUCCAAUCCAAGGAAGGAGAUAAUCUUUUCAUUGGAGACAGAAAGAAUCAUAUAUAGACAUAUAUAUUGAUGACAAAAUCCUCUUAAGAGACGUAAGUUGUCUCUGUUUUUGGUAAAGGAAAGUUUAGAAGGAGGGAGGCUAUCCUAUCCCAAGACUAGGGCAUACAAAGGUUUCUUUGAGGACUUACGGAAGGGGUUUAGCCUUUUUUUGGGUUUUUAUAAAUUACUCACAUAUAGAUUAUCGACAACAAAACUCGAAUUUAAGCCUUGAUAACAAAAAUAACGAUCUUUACCAACUUAAUUAACCCUCAUUGGUGACAUACGUUGUCUUUU